rnacentral:rRNA from 1 species
CUACGGGGUGCACCAGUGAGGAAUAUUGCACAAUGGGGGGAACCCUGAUGCAGCAACGCCGCGUGGAGGAUGACGCAUUUCGGUGUGUAAACUCCUUUUAUAUGUCAAGAAAAUGACGGUAGCAUAUGAAUAAGAACCGGCUAACUCCGUGCCGGCAGCCGCGGUAAUACGGAGGGUGCAAGCGUUACUCGGAAUCACUGGGCGUAAAGGACGCGUAGGCGGGUUGGAAAGUCAGGUGUGAAAUCCUACAGCUUAACUGUAGAACUGCACUUGAAACUUCUAAUCUAGAGUAUGGGAGGGGGAGAUGGAAUUAGUGGUGUAGGGGUAAAAUCCGUAGAUAUCACUAGGAAUACCUAAAGCGAAGGCGAUCUCCUGGAACAUUACUGACGCUAAGGCGUGAAAGCGUGGGGAGCAAACAGGAUUAGAUACCCGGGUAGUC